CUGGGACUUGCUGCCCCCCGCCCCCGCCCACAGGCUGGCUCCCUGAGGCCCAAACCCCAGGCCCCUGCCCUGCUGAGGGCUUUAGCCAAGAGGCUCUGGGGCUGGGGCUGGCCAGGGUGACUGGGUGGCAGGGGGGAGUCUGUCCAAGACACUGGGGUCUCCGCCCAGGCCACAUGGUCCCCCCCUGGCCCCAGGGGGGCCCUUGCUGCUCUGCUGGGUCCUCAAGGACAGAAACUCCCAGGAACUCGGGGCUUUGCCCUCCCCUCCCUCCCCAGCCCAGCAGCCCCCCUGAAAGAACCAAACCAAAGCACCAAGGGAGCAAUUUGCUUUUUUUUAAUGCUCAACUGAAAAAAGGUGUCAAAAAGUGAGAAAAGCCCAACUAGGGAGGUUUGACUAUGUCUCCUGGGAGACCGCAGGAAGUGGGAAAGCAUGAAGGAGAGGGAGCAAAGGAGCCUGGAGAGGCCAAGCAGGAGGCCACGGGAGCAGAUGCUCCGAGAUCCCGAGGGGGAGGACCUGGUGGGGCUGGCUCGGCUAGGCCAGCUGGUCCUUGCUGCCUGGAUCUUCAGGGCCUCUUCCUUCUCCAGGCUGAUGCCGCUUACGCGCGGUUUCCGAAGGAGUCACCACCACCUUCUCCUUUUCUUCCUGGAUUGCCAGCAGAGUAUCCCCCUUUUCUUCGGUCUUUCUGGCAAGCUCAGAAUCAGGAAGGUCAUCAUCCAAGGACUCCUCCUUGCAGAUCAGCUCGGGCACAUUGGACUCCCAGCAUUCCUGGAAUGAGCAGGAACUACCUGAGGAAGAACCACAAUACUCAUCACUGCUGUCCCCUUUAUCGGCUGGAGUGUUUCCACUCAUGAUGUCAGAGUUAAGACCUCUAAAGGGAAUAGCUACUAAUACGCUGUCCAACUGUCCAAAGUUCUAAGGCAAAGAAAGUGGAAAUAUCUCCUCCGUCCUGCUGAAUUUAUAGAGAGCCAGCUACCAAUAGCCCCUAGCCCCU
rnacentral:lncRNA from 1 species